UAAAUGCAAGUUUUGAGAUGAUAAUGAUAGAUGCAGGCCGUUGUUGACGAUAACAGGAUAGGUUGUUAUUGUGUUGGUGCUCUUGUGUUUGAUUUGCAGAUUUGCUGUAUUGAGAUUGACAGAAGCAAGGAGUAAUUGGUCAUGCUCGGUUUCAAGAAAUGAAGGAGUUGAGUGAUUGUUGGUUAAUCUGGUUGCUCAGGGAGUAAAUGGGCAGCACAUAUUUCAUUCAAGCUGGGUAUUUUAAAUGAUCUAGAAACGUUAAGUUCAUGUUGUGAACUUGUGGAAGUUAGUGAUGAGAAGUCAUUGAUUGAAGUUAAUUAAGGAGAGGAUGGUGUUGAUAGUGGUAUGUUUCUGUUGACAAUUGUUAAUGAUAACAGGAUUGUAUGUUGUCAUAUGGUUGUGAUUUGAGUUGAUAAUAAGGAAAGGAACAAUUGGAGUAUAUGGCUAUUGGAUUUCAAGACAUAGAAGUAUGGUAAAUGUGGAUUAGUACUUGAAAUCAGUUCAAGACUUUGAAGGCUAGAAUCGAAGAAUGCAAUUGUGUGAAAAUAUGAUUUGGGUGUCCUUAGUAAAUUUCAAGGACUUGAUUGUUUCUAAUUAAAGUGUUUGCCGACUUCCUUGGAACAAGGCGAUAUGAGGAUCAAAUGCAAGUAGCAGGAUUCCAGAAGCAGAAGGAUAAGGAUUUCAGAAAGCAAGUCGUUGAGUUACUAAUUUUAGCUGACGUCAAAACUAACGCUUUGGAUUCCAGUUUCUUUUACUUUUUCCGCUCACGUCUCGGGUUCGGCGUCAGGUGCUUAGAAACCACCGACACCGGAUCCGGGGUGUGACAUUACCAGGGUAUCCCUCGGCAGUUUCGGAAGAUGGUGAUGUGGACGGACUUGGGUUGCUGGUUGCGACAUCUGUAGUGGUGCUUCUAGUCUGGAG